CCUCCUUUCUAAGGUUGUCUUAGGUGGAUGUAAUGUCACCAUCCUUGAAUUCCUUCCAGAAGAUAUAUAACAGGCGCGUAGCUCAGUUGGUUAGAGCGCACGACUGAUAAUCGUGAGGUCGGCAGUUCAAACCUGCCCGUGCCUACCAAAAGUGUGAGCUAUUGCACGAUUUAUAUGUAUUUUUGGAAAGAAUUGGCCAGAAUUUCUGGUGAUGUUUGACAUAGUUAGUGAAAAGAUCUCAAGAACUUUGACAUAUGAUGCUUGACCGCAAUCAUAUGUUUUUGGUGCUUACGUUUCGUAUAAUAAGGCUUUAAUUAAGUUCCUGCCUUUGGUAUACGGGGCGAUCAAGCGUCAAUAAGGGCAUUUGGUGGAUGCCUUGGUGUUGAAAGGCCAUAAAGGACCUAAUACCUGCCAUAGCU
rnacentral:tRNA from 1 species